CACGUAGGCACCAAGCGUUGUCCGGAUUUAUUGGGCGUAAAGAGCGUGUAGGCGGCCUGACAGGUCUGCUGUGAAAACUCGAGGCUCAACCUCGAGAUGUCGGCGGAAACCGUCUGGCUAGAGUCCGGAAGAGGAGAGUGGAAUUCCUGGUGUAGCGGUGAAAUGCGCAGAUAUCAGGAAGAACACCUAUGGCGAAGGCAGCUCUCUGGGACGGUACUGACGCUGAGACGCGAAAGCGUGGGGAGCGAACAGG
rnacentral:rRNA from 1 species